AGCAGUAGCCGCGGUAAUACGAAGGGUGCAAGCGUUAAUCGGAAUUACUGGGCGUAAAGCGUGCGUAGGCGGUGAGUUAAGUCUGUUGUGAAAUCCCCGGGCUCAACCUGGGAACUGCAUCUGUGACUGUAUAGCUAGAGUACGGUAGAGGGGGAUGGAAUUCCGCGCGUAGCAGUGAAAUGCGUAGAUAUGCGGAGGAACACCGAUGGCGAAGGCAAUCCCCUGACCUGUACUGACGCUCAUGCACGAAAGCGUGGGGAGCAAACAGGAUUAGAUACCCGAGUAGUCCCUGUCUCUUAUACA
rnacentral:rRNA from 1 species